rnacentral:rRNA from 1 species
UACAGAGGGUGCGAGCGUUAAUCGGAAUUACUGGGCGUAAAGCGCGCGUAGGCGGCUUUGCAAGUCGGGUGUGAAAUCCCCAGGCUUAACCUGGGAACUGCAUUCGAGACUGCAUUGCUAGAGUAUGGGAGAGGGAAGUGGAAUUUCAGGUGUAGCGGUGAAAUGCGUAGAUAUCUGGAGGAACACCGGUGGCGAAGGCGCCCGCCUGGCCUGCUACUGACGCUGAAGCUCGAAAGCUAGGGGAGCAAACGGG